rnacentral:rRNA from 1 species
UGGGCAACCUGCCCUCAGCUCUGGGAUAACUCCAAGAAAUUGGGGCUAAUACCGGAUAUGACUGCUGACCGCAUGGUCUGGUGGUGGAAAGAUUUAUCGGCUGGGGAUGGGCCCGCGGCCUAUCAGCUUGUUGGUGGGGUAGUGGCCUACCAAGGCGACGACGGGUAGCCGGCCUGAGAGGGUGACCGGCCACACUGGGACUGAGACACGGCCCAGACCUCCGUACGGGA